rnacentral:rRNA from 1 species
CAGCCCUUGACAUGGGACUCGCCGGGAGCAGAGACGCUCCCUUCGGUUCGGCCGGAGUCCGCACAGGUGCUGCAUGGCUGUCGUCAGCUCGUGUCGUGAGAUGUUGGGUUAAGUCCCGCAACGAGCGCAACCCUCGUCUCCAGUUGCCAUCAGGUUAUGCUGGGCACUUUGGAGAAACUGCCGGUGACAAGCCGGAGGAAGGUGGGGAUGACGUCAAGUCCUCAUGGCCCUUACGGGCUGGGCUACACACGUGCUACAAUGGCGGUGACAGUGGGACGCGAAGGAGCGAUCUGGAGCAAAUCCCCAAAAGCCGUCUCAGUUCGGAUUGCACUCUGCAACUCGAGUGCAUGAAGGCGGAAUCGCUAGUAAUCGUGGAUCAGCAUGCCACGGUGAAUA